rnacentral:tRNA from 1 species
GUUAAUGUAGCUUAUUACAAAGCAAAGCACUGAAAAUGCUUAGAUGGAUUAUUAAAAUCCCAUAAACA